AUGGCGACCGGCGCACGGGUGAGUAACACGUAUCCAACCUGCCGAUAACUCGGGGAUAGCCUUUCGAAAGAAAGAUUAAUACCCGAUGGUAUAAUCAGACCGCAUGGUUUGAUUAUUAAAGAAUCUCGGUUAUCGAUGGGGAUGCGUUCCAUUAGGCAGUUGGUGAGGUAACGGCUCACCAAACCUUCGAUGGAUAGGGGUUCUGAGAGGAAGGUCCCCCACAUUGGAACUGAGACACGGUCCAA
rnacentral:rRNA from 1 species